rnacentral:rRNA from 1 species
UGGGGAAUAUUGCACAAUGGAGGGAACUCUGAUGCAGCGACGCCGCGUGAACGAAGAAGGCUUUCGAGUCGUAAAGUUCUUUUAUUUGGGAAGAUAAUGACGGUACCAUAAGAAGAAGCCCCGGCUAACUACGUGCCAGCAGCCGCGGUAAUACGUAGGGGGCUAGCGUUGUCCGGAAUCACUGGGCGUAAAGGGUUCGCAGGCGGAAAUGCAAGUCAGGUGUAAAAGGCAGUAGCUUAACUACUGUAAGCAUUUGAAACUGCAUAUCUUGAGAAGAGUAGAGGUAAGUGGAAUUUUUAGUGUAGCGGUGAAAUGCGUAGAUAUUAAAAAGAAUACCGGUGGCGAAGGCGACUUACUGGGCUCAUUCUGACGCUGAGGAACGAAAGCGUGGGUAGCAAACAGG